rnacentral:rRNA from 1 species
UACGUAGGGGGCAAGCGUUGUUCGGAAUUACUGGGCGUAAAGCGCGUGUAGGCGGCUCUGCAAGUCGGAUGUGAAAGCCCACGGCUCAACCGCGGAAGUGCAUUCGAAACUGCAGGGCUAGAGUCCUGGAGAGGAAGGUGGAAUGCUUGGUGUAGAGGUGAAAUUCGUAGAUAUCAAGCGGAACACCGGUGGCGAAGGCGGCCUUCUGGACAGUGACUGACGCUGAGACGCGAAAGCGUGGGGAGCAAACAGGG